GUCAGUGCAUCCCUCAGACAGCAGCUGGGCAAAGUGGCAGCUCCUCCAGAACUUUCUUUGGCUCCAGUGGUAUCCGUCCUGGGCUCUGGCUCCAUGCUCGGCUCAGGAAUAACUGCCAGGACCAACCAGCUGUGCUAAGACUCUGAAGCUGCCACUCACGGGGAAGGAAAGUGAGGUCCAUUCCGUGUAGGUGGACGAAGAUAGGGCAAGAGGAGGAACCACUGCCUUUUAUGCGGGGUAUGGUAGCUGAGGCAUUUUACUUAGGCAAGACUUGGAGACAGCAAGCCCAGAUUUUCUUCUACUCUACUUCACAUCCUCAGAUAACCAAAGACCCUGACACUGGAUCCAAGGUACCUGUAGAGAUCUCUCCCUGCUUUCACCCCUUAACCUGGUCAAAUGAAUGCAGCCAUUUAUUUAGUAAACACUCCGGGCACUGUGCUUGGCACCCAGUGCACAACCAAAGCAUCCAGGGGCAAAUGCCACCUUUUCCUCCCAAGGCCAGUGUAGGCGUUGUGACCCAGUAGGCAAGGAACACAGAACCAUGAGCCAAGGGAACUGGUUUCGAGGCCUGGCUCUGCAACUUUUAAGCUGUGUGAACUUAAGCUCAUCACUCAACAUAUCCAAUCUUUGGUUUCCUCAUGUUUAAAAUUAGGUUUGUGACACAUUCCUCUGUUAAAAGGGUACAAUGAAACAAUGAAUGUGAAAAUACUUUCUCAUCUAGGAAACCCUGGACAAAUCUUAUUUGUUACUGUGACCAGACCAGUUAGGUGAGUAGGAGCCAAUUUGUAUUCAUCAGAACCUCUCUCUGUGGGAAGUAAUAGAAAGCCAAGCCAAGCUGGUCAGAGGAACAAAGACGUUUAUUGAUUCCUUUACCUGGGAAGAGCCUGGAGAAGCUCAGUCAAAGGAAAGUGAUGGGAUCUAAGGCUUCAAGCAGCUGAGACCUGGCGCUCCCUUUGACUGCUGUUUGUAUCUUCUUGCCUUUGCUUCUCCUUACAUCAUGGCCUCCUUCUCUUGGCCCAAGAACUCCUUUUUCUUUGUGGUAGGGAGCAUGGGCUUUGGCAACUCAAGCCUGGUGGGCCCUGUGAGAGUGCAGAGUGGGGAGAAUAGUCUGUUAUCAGCAGGAGUGGGAGAAGCUCAUAGGCAGAUGGGAAACAGAGCCACCCUCGUGGUUUUACAGCAAAGAAUGAGACAGGCAUAGAUGAGGACCCUUCUCUUCUGUUAUGGAGGGGGACAGAAAAAUAAGCAAUAAAAACAAGCCAGAAACAGCACAAUGACUAUCAACUAAUAAAAAAGUACGAAAGAGUUGGCAGGUCCACGCAAUGGAAUAGUAUUUGGCAAUAAAAAGAAAUGAGUACUGACUCAUGCCACAAUAUUAUGGACAUCAAAAAUUUGCUAAGUGACAGGAGUCAG
rnacentral:lncRNA from 1 species